GGGGACGUUACGGAUUCGACAGGGAUAGUUCGAGCUUAGGUUGCGAGUCGAGGGGAUCGGCCUCGUUAAAACGUCAAAGCCUAUAAUUGGCAAACAAAACAAUCUUUCUUUAGCUGCUUAAUUGCACUAAAGGUUCCUCCCUCCAUCGUCCAUGUGGUAGGGUAAGGGACUCAAACUAAGUGGACUACGCCGGAGUUCGCCGUCUGAGGACAAAGG
rnacentral:tmRNA from 1 species